rnacentral:rRNA from 1 species
UACGAAGGGGGCGAGCGUUGUUCGGAAUUACUGGGCGUAAAGGGCGCGCAGGCGGCCUUGGAAGUCAGACGUGAAAGCCCCGGGCUCAACCUGGGAAUUGCGUUUGAUACUCCAAGGCUCGAGUUCGGGAGAGGAGAGUGGAAUUCCCAGUGUAGAGGUGAAAUUCGUAGAUAUUGGGAAGAACACCGGUGGCGAAGGCGGCUCUCUGGACCGAUACUGACGCUGAGGCGCGAAAGCGUGGGGAGCAAACAGG